rnacentral:lncRNA from 1 species
CAGCAAUGCUUUAUUCCAGUGCUUUUCCAGAUUCCAUGUUGAUGGAUUCCAGGAGUUACGCUUCCUGGGGCCCUAGUGAGGCUAGAAGGCACUGGAGACGUGGUGCAUUUGUCAGCUUAGGCUAAGAUGUGUGGCAGCAACAAAUGACCCCAAAUCUUAACGGCUUACAACAGUAAAGGUGUAUUUCUCACUCGUGAUAUAACCAUCCCGGAUCAGCUUCAUAUCUCCUUCAUUCUAGAACUAGCUGAAGGAGAAGCUCUUAUUGUGAACAUGCUGGGCCCAUUUCAGAGGGAACAGAGUGGUGCACCAUGGCUUUUAAAGCUGCUGCUUGGCAAUAGCACCUGUCACUUCUGUCAACUCUCAUUGGCCAAAAGCAAGUCAGGUGGCCAAGCCUGACAUCAGCACAACAAGGAAAUAUCCUCUUUCUCUAGGAACGAGGGACGUAUUUUGAGUAGUGAUGCAAUCUUCCUCAUGGAGUUUAGGAAUUCCCUGCUCCGGCUUCAACUAGUACAUCUCCAUGUCUAACCGUUUUAUAUAUGCGGCACGUAUGCAACAUUUUCCUUGAAACAAGCAUGGCAAAGAAUGCUAGAUAUCCAGUAAAAUCUGUUUCCCCUUCCACAAUGUAGUCACGACUCACCAUGUGUCUAGAUGUGCUUGUAUGCCUAGUUCUCACCAAUAGAAUGUAUGUAAAAAUAAUAUGUACUGAUUUCAGGCCUUAACUUUUAAGAAGCAGGCGUAUACUUUCUCCACCAUACCUCUCCCCCAGCGUGGCCAGAUGCAGACCGUAGCACAGCCCCAGGAGACGGCCCAGACACAAGGGAGACGAUCUCUGAGUCCCAGCGUGGAAGGAAGCUGCUGGUUGUCCCACCCUGGAUUGUCAGGUACAACUCAGCAUCUGAAUACCUGUGUAACCAUGGUCAUGACUCACUGGGGAAGAAAUCCUUGUUCUGCUUCACGGAUUCAUAACGGAAAGAAGGAAAGUUUUGAGCAUGUGAGUUCACUGAAGCAUCUCUUAUUCCCAUCACUAUUGGUAUUGGCUGGAAGAUUUGAACUCAGCGUCAGGACACUGGCUUCCAUCAUACCACAAGGCCACCAUCAUCUACUUUGGUUCUUUUUGAACAAUCAACCUAAUGUGCAGCCCCCAACAGACCAGAUGCAAUAUUUGUGCCCAAUCCACAUCUGCAUCCUGGUACAGGUCGUCCAUCUCAGCUACAGUGGCUCGUGUGGUAAAUCUGUGCAUGAGAGUACGGUGAUUAAGAUCUCAUGUCCUCAGGGGAAGUGGUGGCGUGUCGGGUUAGGUUGGUGACUAUUCUUAGGAAUAUUUGUUCCUAAUUCAAACACAGGUACUUUUCUUUUGCAAAAUCAGAACAGACAGCCAGACUCCUGGCUCCACUCUCAAAUGCUCUGCACAUACUUAGCAGUCUGCUGCAUCUCCCCCUCUUAUUGCCAGGAGGGUCUUCUUUAACACAGCCGUUCCUGCCUGUUGACUCUUAUCAGCGAGUCCUCUUCUGACUCUUCAAAACCAAGAUAUGUGAAUCUGUCCUUUUGUUUACGCAGUAGCACACUCAGGAGCUGAGGCUGCUGAUGAGAGAUCGAGGGGGGCUGAGCUGGUGGUGGACGGGAGGGAAGGAGGGUGACGAGAGGAUGAAGUCAUGUUUGGCUUGUGAGAGGACUUUUUAUCCCCAUAGACAUGCUUUUCCAUCUCUAAGACAUGACGCAUUUCACUCAAAAGCCGAAGUAGCAUCCUUUUCUAAUUCAUUGCAAGUUUGAAACAAAAUCUUUAAAAAAUAUAUAUGCACCAUGGGGGUGUCCAUGUUGGAGGGCACGUGGUCUUCAGGCAGGAGAAAAGCAGAGUAGUUGACCAAAAUGUAUGUGCUGGGGCAGAGGAAAUACAGGGGCUCUUAGACAAGGCGAUGAUGGCUAGGCAGAGGGCUCAGUGAUUUUUCUUUGCUGAAAUCCUGUAUUCUAGUUCUGUAUAUUACUGAGGCAGACAUGGCUAGUUACUAGCCCCUUUCUUCCUUAUAAAAAAUACCAUGGCAUUUUUCCAGGCCCUCAGUGUGCCCUGUUACAAUUAUUCACUGUAUUAGACCCCUGGCUGCUCGAGGUGGGCACAUGACAGUUAUGGCCAGUGAAACAUAAACCAAGAAGUUUGGGGAAAGGUUUUUCUUUCCUGAUAUCGAUACCAUCCUUCUAGUUUCUUCUUUCUUCUGCUUCCUGCCUAGAAUAGUGUGGAGGUUGAGGUGUGGAGAUACAGCAGCCAUCUUGUGACCAUGAGGUGAUAUGCAUAUGGAUGCGUACCUGCUAAGAGUGGGCAGAGUAUCUAAAAGAAGAGAUCCUGGGCCACCAUCCUGAGCCACAUCUCAGCCCUAGACUGCUGUCCACACACUCCUGACUCUGAGCAGCAGUGUUUUGUUAUUUGAACUAAAUGUGUUCCUAACUGAGAUAAUGGAGAACAUCCAGCAAUAACUGUAUUUGUUAAGGUAAGAAUAGCUGCUGUAAACACAACCACCAAACAGCAGUGCAUUUUAGAGUAAAGUUGAUUUCCCACUCACAUUAAAGUUCCAAACUGAUCUUGAUCAGCAGAGAACUCUCCUCUAUAAACAGUGACUCAGGGGUCUGUCUCAUUCUAUCUGGUGGCUCUGCCAUCUUCAACACAUGGUUUUCCAAGUUAACCUGUGUGUGGACUUUCAGUUGGCAGAGUGGGAAGAGAGAGAGUACUAUAGGGUCAGGCAGGGACACUGGGAAGGUGUGUACCAGUCCCUUCUGGUGGCAUGUGUCACUUCUCCUUCUUUCCAUUGACCAGAACUCAGCCUUUAGUCACCAAUAAGUCCACGUGAGGCUGCUAAUGCAGUCUAGCUGUGCACCCAGGAGGAAGAGAAGAUGGCUGUGGUGGAAAACUAGCUGGCAUCUGUGGCAACCACCGAAAUGGUCCAGAGUCUGUCAGCGCUUCAUCCUUGGGGUGCUGCCUUGGAGUCUCGAGGAUGAGCUGGCACCUCAUUUUUCAUAAUGGUGGUUCACAGUCACGCCACUCUCCCUUUGGUGUUCGGCUGAUGGGAUGGGAAUGUAGAUAAGCAACCAGGCCUGUGAUUUCUUCCAGUGAUGAGAAAGAAGAGAAGGUCGAGGAGGGUGGCGGGGUCUGGAUGUAGACAUUAAUUUCCCUGUUUGACUUGGAGUAAGCAGGAUGUGGGGGAAGAGAGGAAUAAAAAUUAUUUAAAUUUCUUAACCUUCA